ACUGGUGACUAUACUAGUGUUGCUCCACCUGAUCCCAUUCCGAACUCAGAAGUGAAAUACACUAAGGCCCAUGAUAGUCGGCACAAGCCGGCGAAAGUAGGUAGUCGCCAAUU
rnacentral:rRNA from 1 species